rnacentral:rRNA from 1 species
GUGGAGCCGUCCUUGAAAUACCACCCUUGUAUGUUUGAUGUUCUAACAUUGUUCCCUUAUCGGGAAUGUGGACAGUGUCUGGUGGGUAGUUUGACUGGGGCGGUCUCCUCCCAAAUAGUAACGGAGGAGCACGAAGGUUAGCUAAUCACGGUCGGACAUCGUGAGGUUAGUGCAAUGGCAUAAGCUAGCUUAACUGCGAGACAGACACGUCGAGCAGGUACGAAAGUAGGUCUUAGUGAUCCG